AGGAGCAACAGCCCCAGUGGCGGGGCCAGCUCUGGAAACCUGGAUUCAGCCCCCGCAGGAACUCCGGAGCUCUCCGUCUGCAGGGCCUGGAGGCUCCGGGGCGGG
rfam:Canis lupus familiaris chromosome 14, whole genome shotgun sequence.